rnacentral:rRNA from 1 species
UACGGGGGGAGCAAGCGUUGUUCGGAUUUACUGGCGUAAAGGGCGCGUAGGCGGCCACCGCAAGUCGACUGUGAAAUCUCCGGGCUUAACCCCGGAAAGGUCAGCCGAUACUGCGGGGCUAGAGUGCAGAAGGGGCAACUGGAAUUCUCGGUGUAGCGGUGAAAUGCGUAGAUAUCGAGAGGAACACCUGCGGCGAAGGCGGGUUGCUGGGCUGACACUGACGCUGAGGCGCGAAAGCUAGGGGAGCGAACGG